rnacentral:misc_RNA from 1 species
UACAGAGCUCCUCAGGAGUCAGGUUAUAAGAACAAUCAACAUCAGCAAAUUCCUUAAGGAGAUUGACCCCUGCCUCACCGAGUUUUUCAGCUACGAGAACCGUCGGUUUAUCUCCCACAGCGUAGAUAACGAAACGCGGAUAAUGACGGUGGCCGGAGAGAGGAGAAACGGCUAAGGCGGAGGUAGAAGAGAGAUGAGUUUUCCAUGAGAGAGAGGUAUGUGAGGGUUUGAUGGAGAGAUUGAUAGCAGAAGAAGCAGAUGCCGCCAUUGUAAACAAAUCAAUAGAAGAGUGAUGAAUCGAAG